AUGCCGAGACCCAAGGCAGAGAGGCCCGUGCCGCCGCCGGCCUGCCGCCGGUCCCUCGCGGCGGGCGGGCUGGGCCUGGCGGCCGCGGCGUACGUGGGCGUGGACUACCUCAGCCGCACGUCCCCCUCGCUGCACGGGCGGCUGCAGCCGGCGAUCUGGGCGGCGCUGGCGCUCGCCACCGCCGCGCGGGCGCCCUUCUACCGCCGCUGGGACGCCGAGAUCCGCGCCGCCCCGUGGUUCCUCGCCGCCAUGAUCUUCAUGUUCGCCGCCCUGCUCUGCGAGGCCAUCUCCGUCCGGUUCGUCUCCAGCGUGCUCGGCCUCCGGUGGCAUAGAUCUACUGCUCCUCUUCCGGACACUGGUCAGUGGCUGCUUCUAGCACUAAAUGAGAGGCUUCCUCGAACCGUGGUUUAUCUAUUGAGAGCCCACAUCAUCAGUCUACAUCAUUAUUUGAUGUUGUUUAUCAUGUUGGGAUUCUCGGCAUUUUUUGACUGCAUCAAAGGUCCUGGCCUUGGAAUAGGCACAAGGCCUUGGUGUGCUGCCGCUCGAUAUAAAAUACCUGACCAUCCUCAUGCUUGGGCCCAGAAGUAUUAUGCUCCGUAUGCUUCUGAUCCGCGUGCAAUCCGCAGGGUCAUACUAGUGGAUAUGCCAUAUGCCAUUGUUCAAAAUUAUUCUGAUCACUAUAGACCUGAUUGGGCACAUAUGAGCUUCCUAAUAGACAUAUUGAGGCCCUCUGCCGGAGAGGGGCCUUCGUGGUAUCAUUUGGUGAAUAAAGCCGGUGGUGGUUGCAAUGAUCUUAUUUAUAGUGGGCACAUGUUUGUUGCUGUCCUGACUGCUAUGGCAUGGACGGAAGCGUACGGGGGAUGGAUAUCAGUUGGGAUAUGGUUUCUAGUCCUGCACAGUGCCCAGAGGGAGAUACGGGAGCGUUAUCAUUAUAGUGCCGACUGUGUUGUAGCAAUUUACGUUGGAAUCCUCUUGUGGCGGGUCACUGGGUUCAUCUGGUCCACGAGGGAUUCAGAUCAAGCCAGAAGACUUGCCAAACUCGACGAAGUUCAGAACAGAUUAUUUCAUGCUGCAAAGGACUCGGACAUCGACGAAAUAAGGGGGCUGCUAAAUGAAGUUGAGAUGGCUGGACAGCCAAAGAAGACCUUCUCACAGGGUGUCAUCUUAUCCUUUGCUGCUUUUAUGAUUACAUUCACCCUCCUGUUUGCUCUCCUUGCAUUCUCACUUACUAGCAAUGGAUGA
rnacentral:rRNA from 1 species